CAAACUUUGGGGACAGAGAGGGACUGAUCUUUGGCUAAGAUCGGAGUCUAUACGUCCAAUCUCAGAACCAAAAAGAAGGAUAUUUUCCUAAAAUUAGUAACAUUGAUAGUAACAUCUGCCUUCUGUAUCCUGAUACAGAAGGACUUGGAAGAGAAGGACCAGGGAGGGAAGUACUGUUUCUCCCACAUCUGCCUCCCAACCACUGGACCAGCCAUGAUCUCUACUCCCACUUUGGUGAUUGGGAUUCUGUUACUAUUUGGGGGCACUUACGGAGAUUCAGUGACCCAGACAGAAGGACACAUCACUCUCUUUGAGGGAGCGUCACUCACACUGAACUGCUCUUAUCAGACCAUUAGGACACCUUAUCUCUUCUGGUAUAUCCAGUAUCCCAGUGAAGCUCUCAAGGUUUUCCUGAGAGAAACAUCAGGGAAAGACCAAGAGAAAGACAAUAAUGGAUUUUGGACCAGAAAGAUUAAGGAAGAAUCUUCCUUCUACCUGGAGAAAACCUCAGUCCAAAUGGGAGAUUCUGCUGUGUACUAUUGUGUUCUGAGUGACACAGUGAUAGGGACUAUAGGGAGAGCUGAACACAAACCCUCAUAAGCAUAGGAGUGAUCCUGAGUCUGGCCAGCCCUGAGAGGGGAGUUUUCUCCAUUCCAAAAAUACCAGCCUUGGGGACAUCUCUUGAACAAAGGGCUAAACUCUACUGUCCUACAAACCCUGGUUUCACAGAUGUCUGUGGAA